UUUCCAACAUGGUUGACAACAAUGUACCUUGCGUUCUUUCACACGAGAGAACAAUUCGCGAUGUUUUUCUUGAUCAAUUCCAAACACCUAAAAUUUUCAAUUCAACAUGUUGACAUUGAACAGUGGUUGCAGUGAAGAGAGUAAUAACUAUGUUUGGCUCUUCAAAACUAACGUUGGAAGUGCGAACAAACAGAUUUUCAAGACUGGGUGUGACUCGAAUAACGCGAUGACCUACAACAGGUUAAAUAUACCUUUGACUGCCAGUGUAUUCUACCGUAUACCAAGUUGUACUUUCCUCCUCGCUAUCACUUUCAUUGGACUCGUUUGGUUUUGAAAGGCGAAGCCUCUCUAGUUUUGACUGCAAAAUUGGUUGAAAUUCUCGUUUUUCUGUUGGGCCAAGAGCCUCGUAAUAUUCCUUAUAUAUUUUUCUCACUGACUCAUUAAAAGACAUGUUGUACGAAUUUCGUUUUAACUGAUUUUGAAAACGAGAGCACGGUCAUGAGACACCUGUCACUUCUUCUGGCACAAGUGUGAAUAAAUUUUCAUUAUUUGCUGCGGAGAUCGACCACGAGCAACUAUUAGUUUCCUUUCAUGUGCAAACUUGUCAUAAACAAUAGCGACUAAUAUCUCGUAUUCUCUGAUGAUUACAACCAAAGGAAUUUGUUCGUUAUUGUUUUUUUAUGUCUAUUGACGUGACCUUUGUAUGUCACAUUUUCACACCAAGACAAAGGCGAAUAACAUAACCUUCCAAUGAA